rnacentral:lncRNA from 1 species
UGUGCAUUAAAGCUUUUGAAGUAGGUUGAGGCCUAAAGGUUUGCGGACUUUGCGGCUAUACCGUGGAAACGUGGAGGACAGUAAGCAGUCGAGUCCACCCAACUGAGCCUAACUGCCAGAUAAACACACACCUAAGGUCCUCCCUGGAAGUGAUGGCGUCAUUUUGAAAUCCAAUGGCCAAGUUGAUGACAACACAUCACCCUCCCAAACCCCCACGAUGAAAUGGCUUAUAUAGACAGACCAACAAGCCAACUCUUCACUUCACUGAGCAAGUGUGUCUUGCAGUUGUCUUUGGAGAGAUAUAACAGAGAACAUGGCACGCAAACUCUUUCUAAUCCUCGCGCUCUUUCUCCUGGUGGGGAGUCUGACUGCGCAGUUGUCAGAUGAAGAUGGCAUCAUCCUGUCUGAACUGUACAACAAGGCAUCGAGGCAGCUCCACUCUUUCAGAGAGAGAAUCUGAAUGCCACGAAGCUCUCCUGUUUGUAAACAAAUAAAGAUGUUCUGCAGCAUUUACCUCUCUGUGCU